UACGAGGGGGGCAAGCGUUGUUCGGAAUUAUUGGGCGUAAAGGGUGCGUAGGCGGUCUGACAAGUCUGAUGUGAAAUCUAUGGGCUCAACCCAUAGUCUGCAUCGGAAACUGUCGGGCUUGAGUAUGGGAGAGGUGAGUGGAAUUCCUGGUGUAGCGGUGAAAUGCGUAGAUAUCAGGAGGAACACCUGUGGCGAAAGCGGCUCACUGGACCAUAACUGACGCUGAUGCACGAAAGCUAGGGGAGCAAACAGG
rnacentral:rRNA from 1 species